rnacentral:rRNA from 1 species
GACGAACGCUGGCGGCGUGCUUAACACAUGCAAGUCGAACGGAAAGGCCCUGCUUUUGUGGGGUGCUCGAGUGGCGAACGGGUGAGUAACACGUGAGUAACCUGCCCUUGACUUUGGGAUAACUUCAGGAAACUGGGGCUAAUACCGGAUAGGAGCUCCUGCUGCAUGGUGGGGGUUGGAAAGUUUCGGCGGUUGGGGAUGGACUCGCGGCUUAUCAGCUUGUUGGUGGGGUAGUGGCUUACCAAGGCUUUGACGGGUAGCCGGCCUGAGAGGGUGACCGGCCACAUCGGGACUGAGAUACGGCCCAGACUCCUACGGGAGGCAGCAGUGGGGAAUAUUGCACAAUGGGCGGAAGCCUGAUGCAGCAACGCCGCGUGCGGGAUGACGGCCUUCGGGUUGUAAACCGCUUUCGCCUGUGACGAAGCGUGAAUGACGGUAAUGGGUAAAGAAGCACCGGCUAACUACGUG